rnacentral:lncRNA from 1 species
AUGAGACAAGCAUAUACGGGAACAAUUUCCCAACCUUUAUAUUAAUAUGGAAAAUAAUACAAAGGACCCUCACUCUUGCUAUGAACAAUGCCGCUCACAGCCCACUCUCCGACUAAGAUGACCUUGUCAAUCUUGGCCCAACACUCGGAUUGUCCCACAACCCAAGUCCCCUUUUGCCUGAAACAAUUAGAACUCCUCACGUUUCCCUCGUGUUUCCCAGCAAGCAAAUACGCACGAAUUACUUGACUAAUUUCUGCCUAAGCCUAAGGGUCCUAUUUAUAGCACAUAGGAACCCUUCACUUGGCAGCACAUGCACAUUUUCAGCCAACCGCCUUCUCCCACUAAGCUAGCCCACGUUCCUAACGUGUGGCUGACAACCCCAGCCACUUAGGAUCCACUACUCACGAAAUGGGGCAUUACACAAGCAUUACAAGAUAAUGGGGAUAAUGGGGGAACAUGGGAGAUCAUGGCCUACAAACAAGGAACUCCUGCCAACCGCUUCCAUGUGCUUCUCAUGUNNN